UUGCCAUCAUUAAUUGUUUUCUUCAUGUUUUUAUUACUAUUAUCAUUUUAUUCUUUAUUUCCAUAAAUAUUGUAAACAUUUCUGCUCAAAAACGAAAAUGGAUUCAGCGUUCAUAUUUUAGUACACUAGAGAAUAUCGAGCUAGUGAUUACCUUAACAUUUUUCUUAACAGAAUUUUAAAGUUCAAGGUCACCGGUCUAUAAAUAGAACUUUUUCGAACUUAUUUGAACGACCAUAACUUCUUGACCGUUCGUAGACCUUUUGCGGAGAAAUAAUUGGGUUAUUUUUGUGUCAAUAUAAAGAGAUUGGUCUUAUAGCGGUAUAUGCAAAGUUCUGCUUCCACAAAAUAAAAGAUAUGGCACUGUGAUAAAAGAUAUUACUUUCCGGCCAAAAUUCAAAAUUUUCAUAAAAUCGCACUAAAAUGUCUCUGCUCCUUUAUCUUGACACGUCCUGACUCGAUAUUUAGCACAUCGAUAGCACUAGGCCUAAUGCCUGGCUAAAAAAGUAUGAUAGUUGUUGACAUUGACCUUCAUUUAGGUGACAGAGGUAAAAAUAAAUUAUAUUGAAAAGGUUUUUAUCACAUGUUAAAAAGCAUGUUCUUUUAAUUGUAUGGGCAACAAUUCAAGGUCUUCGCAUCACAAAUCGUGAAGGUCAAGGUCGCAGGAGUCAAAUUAUCCAAACAUGAAAAAUCUAGUGUCGGUCAAGGAAAGGAACGGAGAGAAAACUAAGGGGAAAUAUAGGUAAAACGUAGCGACCGUCAGAUCGAUAACAUCUCUAAAAUUAUUUUCUUGGUGGAAAUCGUUUGUUUUGAACUUGAUCAAAUCCAUUUGUAUUUUGAUUUUGAUGCAUCCACUAGUGCUAGAAGUCAUGCAGCUUGACAUAUGCUGUCUUACGCUAAUACGGAUCCAGCUAAUUUGUGUUGUAUUUAGUGCUACGAUAGAUUUAUACUAUAUUCUUUUAUUAAAAUAUAACCAUAUAA